rnacentral:rRNA from 1 species
AACGAACGCUGGCGGCAGGCUUAACACAUGCAAGUCGAGCGCCCCGCAAGGGGAGCGGCAGACGGGUGAGUAACGCGUGGGAAUCUACCCAUCUCUACGGAAUAACGCAUGGAGACGUGUGCUAAUACCGUAUACGUCCUUCGGGAUAAGGAUUUAUCGGAGAUGGAUGAGCCCGCGUUGGAUUAGCUAGUUGGUGGGGUAAAGGCCUACCAAGGCGACGAUCCAUAGCUGGUCUGAGAGGAUGAUCAGCCACACUGGGACUGAGACACGGCCCAGACUCCUACGGGAGGCAGCAGUGGGGAAUAUUGGACAAUGGGCGCAAGCCUGAUCCAGCCAUGCCGCGUGAGUGAUGAAGGCCCUAGGGUUGUAAAGCUCUUUCACCGGUGAAGAUAGUGACGGUAACCGGAGAAGAAGCCCCGGCUAAUUUCGUGCCAGCCGCCGCCGUAACAC